UUAAUGCGUCUACACAUCCAUAUGUGAGCCGAGCGGCGGCGUUAGUGUUCUCUGUUUCCAGUCUUUCCGGAGUCUGUCUCCUCUCUGUGUCGCUCGAAAACGACCUAGCGGAGAUGAAGGGGAAGAACUUCCCGAUCGUUGCGUUCGAGCACAAGAGGGAUGCAUAUGGGUUUGCAGUGCGGCCUCAAAACGUGCAGAGGUACCGAGAGUAUGCUAAUAUUUACAAGGAGGAAGAAGAAGAGAGAGUGGAGCGGUGGAAGGACUUCCUUGAUCGGGUGGUUAAGUCUGACGGCACGCCCACUGAUGACAAGCCCACAGAGGAAAACAGCGUUCUGCUGCAUUUGGAUGCUUCCAGAGUCUCGGAGAAGGACAGCGAUCCUGACGAGCCUAGCGAGUGUUAUGACACAGAGGAAGUUGGAUCACAGAAGGAGACGACACAGAAGGAGAGAAGAGUUCAUCGGGUCCAAAUUUGGCCCCAGACCAGGCCUUCCCUUACUGUCAUUGAGCAGAUGAUGAGUCUGCGAGUAACGAAGAAAAACUUCCUGGAAGGUGGUGAAGAAGGCAACAAAGGAAGUAGGAAAAACCUUGCUCCUAUAAAAGAGUCAAAAGCCACAGAAGACUCUGACGAUGAAUUUUAUGAUGUGGAGAGAUCAGAUCCAGUCCAGGAGUUACCUUCUGGAGAUGGUGUCACGGUUGGUAUAGCUGGUCAAGGAGUACCUGAGGAUAGUGACUUCCCUUGGAAGGAGGAAUUGGAGUGCUUGGUCCAUGGGGGGCUCCCUAUGGCUCUCAGAGGAGAGCUUUGGCAAGCUUUUGUCGGUGUUGGAGCUCGCAGGUUGGAUGGAUAUUAUAGUAGCUUGUUAGAUCAAGAAUCUAAGGCUGAUGGAAAAGAAGUUGAUGCUCUGCUUAUAGAAGGUGAUGCUGUGCUUAAGAAUGACACUGAAAGCAAACCAACACUACCCCAAGGAAUUGAAAAAUGGAAGGGACAGAUUGAGAAGGAUUUACCCAGAACAUUCCCUGGUCAUCCUGCUCUAGAUGACGACGGGAGAAAUGCUUUGAGGCGGUUGCUCAUGGCAUAUGCUCUGCAUAAUCCGUCUGUUGGUUAUUGUCAGGUGAUGAAUUUCUUUGCUGGAUUACUGCUUCUGCUGAUGCCUGAGGAAAAUGCAUUUUGGACUUUAACUGGCAUCAUUGAUGACUAUUUUGAUGGUUACUACUCUGAGGAGAUGAUUGAAUCCCAGGUGGACCAACUUGCUUUGGAGGAUUUAGUACGUGAAAGAUUUCCAAAAUUAGUGAAUCAUCUAGAUUAUCUCGGAGUGCAGGUGGCAUGGAUCACAGGACCGUGGUUCCUUUCCAUUUUCAUGAAUAUGCUUCCCUGGGAAAGUGUUCUUCGUGUUUGGGAUGUGCUUUUGUUUGAUGGGAACCGGGAGAUGCUUUUCCGAACAGCACUUGCUUUGUUGGAGUUAUAUGGUCCUGCAAUUGUAACAACCAAGGAUGCAGGGGAUGCAAUCACAUUGGUGCAGUCUCUUGCUGGUUCGACUUUCGACAGUAGCCAACUUGUUUUGACAGCUUGUGUAGGAUAUCAAACUGUAAAUGAGAUGAGACUACAAGAAUUAAGGAACAAACAUCGACCAUCUGUGCUUGCUGCCAUGGAGGAAAGGUCCAAAGGAAUGCAUGUUUGGAGUGACUCUAAAGGUCUUGCGACUAAGCUGUAUAGUUUCAACCGUGACAAUGGACUCCUAGUUUCAGAGUCAAAAUCAGAAGAAAAUGCUGGUGACACAAAAGCUAUUGGCGAAGUGCACUUCAUAGAUUCCGAUUUCACUAAUUAUGAUGGUAGUACUCUGACAUUUGAUGCAGAGCUGGAUUCUUUACCUGAUCUUCAAGAGCAGGCCACAUGGUUAAGGGUGGAGCUAUGUAGAUUGCUAGAGGAGAAAAGAUCUGCUACCCUCAGAGCCGAGGAGUUGGAGACAGCAUUGAUGGAGAUGGUGAAGCAGGAUAAUAGGCGCCUAUUGAGUGCAAAGGUUGAGCAGCUGGAGCAAGAGGUAAUUGAGUUGCGGCAGGCUCUAGAAGACAAGCAAGAACAAGAGCGUGCCAUGCUUGAGGUACUGAUGCGAGUUGAACAAGAACAAAAGGUCACGGAAGAUGCUCGCCAUUUUGCUGAGCAAGAUGUUGUUGCUCAGCGGCAUGCUGUGCAUGUCCUCCAGGAAAAAUAUGAAGAAGCCAUGUUCUUAUUUGCACAAAUGGAGAAGAGGGCAGUAAUGGCAGAGACAAUGUUGGAGGCUACAUUGCAAUACGAGUCUAGCCAGCUCAAAGCACUUAGCUCCCCAAGGACACCAACUGCAGAUUCCUCGUCCGUGCGAACAAGUCAGGACUCAUUUCAGGAUGUCCCUGCCAGGAAAAUAAACUUGCUUUCUAGGCCAUUUGUACUUGGUUGGCGUGAUAAGAACAAGGGCGCACAGAUUAAUCCCGAGGAAUCCAGUGACAGGAAGCCGAGCAAUGAGGGUGAACAAAAUGUGCAAAACUCUGAACAGAGAAAUGAAUCGACAUCAGGAGCUGGAUAAGUGAAACUUUAGACAUCAAAUUAUUUCAUUGCAUGUUUGAUUUGCUUUUAUGCAGUUUCUUGUCUAUAUCUAUAUCAAUGAUCCCAUAUGUUUAUAGUAAUGAUUCAGUCGCGGUCAUUUGCCCUAAGCAGAAAAGCGUGCCACAUUUAUCUAUCUACCGAGGAGGAGAAAAGCGUUCCACAUUUUUAUUCAGGCUUGUAGGACUCGAGUGCGUGGUUCGUCUGAUGCCCUGCUGGAGAUGAAGCACUUCAAUUGAGCCAUCAUGAUGAUGCAAAUUGGAAAUAGGUGCAUGAUAAGCAUCAAUAGCCUUUCACUGGCGCCUUAAGAAAG